rnacentral:rRNA from 1 species
AUUGAACGCUGGCGGCAUGCCUUACACAUGCAAGUCGAACGGCAGCACGGGAGCAAUCCUGGUGGCGAGUGGCGAACGGGUGAGUAAAGUAUCGGAACGUGCCCAGUCGUGGGGGAUAACGCAGCGAAAGCUGUGCUAAUACCGCAUACGAUCUGUGGAUGAAAGCGGGGGAUCGCAAGACCUCGCGCGAUUGGAGCGGCCGAUAUCAGAUUAGGUAGUUGGUGGGGUAAAGGCCCACCAAGCCGACGAUCUGUAGCUGGUCUGAGAGGACGACCAGCCACACUGGGACUGAGACACGGCCCAGACUCCUACGGGAGGCAGCAGUGGGGAAUUUUGGACAAUGGGCGCAAGCCUGAUCCAGCAAUGCCGCGUGCAGGAUGAAGGCCUUCGGGUUGUAAACUGCUUUUGUACGGAACGAAAAGGUCACCACUACUACUGGGGGCCCAUGACGGUACCGUAAGAAUAAGCACCGGCUAACUACGUGCCAGCAGCCGCGGUAA